UGCAAAGUUGUUUGAAGUGCAAGGUGUC
rnacentral:piRNA from 1 species